GCUAUAUCAUGCACAAAUUGUCGAUUCACGCAUAUCACACUGUUGAAAUCAUGUACUGAACAAUUAUAUCACAAACACGUUAAAACAAUCAUUUAUGAUAAUCAUAGCGCAUAAUUGAAUAAUUUGUAUCACUUGUUUGAGCAUGUUUAUUGUUUAUCACUGUUGUUUAUAAAACUGCCUAUAUAAACAUUGCCGACGGUAUCGCUGGAUUGUCUUGUCGCUGCCGAGUAUAUAUGGCGUGCGAGACGAUCAGACGGUGAUACAAGCUUUUCCGGGACACGACCCGACAGCUGUUGGAUACACCACGUCCCGGAACAACAACACCGGACACCUUUUGAUACCUGGACACCGAAUAUCAGAAGGAUAUCGACAUGCCGCUCAGGACUUUGAAUACAAAGCUGAGAAAAUUUCUGAGAUGGCUGCAAAAAGGUGUCAACAGAUUCCACGAUUUGUCCAAAGAUUCCAGAUUAGGACCCAAUGAUCGAACACGUCAAAUAUGUCACUCUACGGACGACGAGUGGUACCACGAUCCCGUGUCAAGGACAUGGUCAUGGCUAGGAUGAGACUCGACUGCGCAUAAACGGAACUGGAACUUAUUUCGUAAUUACGUGAUAAAACAACCGCAAGGGUGUGUACCUUCAACGAUUUUCAAACGUCUAGUGGGAUAUUCUGGCGCCUGUUGACAUAUCAAUCAACAGCUAUGCGUUCAGAAACAUAUACCAACACGCUAGCCAAAGAGAACGUUGCAACAAUGAAUCAAAGUGAUUGUCAUUACUCUCGAAAACGCCGUUUCAAGACGCCUAGACUAUACACUGUACGAGGAGCUUAUUGAUCAAUGAAUUAAUCAGUCUCGUAUGUUUCAUAAAUGCAGAAAAUUCGUGUUG